CCUACGGGUGACAGCAGUGAGGAAUAUUGGUCAAUGGGCGGGAGCCUGAACCAGCCAAGUCGCGUGAGGGACGACGGUCCUAUGGAUUGUAAACCUCUUUUGUCGGGGAACAAAGGCGCCCACGGGUGGGCGGAUGAGUGUACCCGAAGAAAAAGCAUCGGCUAACUCCGUGCCAGCAGCCGCGGUAAUACGGAGGAUGCGAGCGUUAUCCGGAUUUAUUGGGUUUAAAGGGAGCGUAGGUGGAUUGUUAAGUCAGUUGUGAAAGUUUGCGGCUCAACCGUAAAAUUGCAGUUGAAACUGGCAGUCUUGAGUACAGUAGAGGUGGGCGGAAUUCGUGGUGUAGCGGUGAAAUGCUUAGAUAUCACGAAGAACUCCGAUUGCGAAGGCAGUUCACUGGACUGCAACUGACACUGAGGCUCGAAAGUGUGGGUAUCAAACAGGAUUAGAUACCCUUGUAGUC
rnacentral:rRNA from 1 species